GCCAGUGUGGUGUAGUGGUUUGAGCAUUAUACCAGGACUGUGGAGAACACGGUUCGAAUCCCUGCUUGGCCA